GGAUGGUUGGCCGAGUGGUCAAAGGCGGGGCCUUGCUAAGGCUCUAGGCGGCUAGCACGCCUCGCGGGUUCAAAUCCCUCACCAUCCGCCA
rnacentral:tRNA from 1 species